GGGGUGUAAUCUGACAAAGGAAAGCUGUAGAUUUCUGUCCUCAGUUCUCAGCUCAAAAUCCUCCAGACUGAGAGAACUGGACCUGGGUUACAAUAACCUGCAGGAUUCAGGAGUGAAGCUGCUCUCUGCUGGACUGGAGAAUCCACACUGUACACUGGAGACACUAUGGAUGAAUUACUGCAGUAUUACAGAUGAAGGUUGUGCUGCUCUGGCUUCAGCUCUGAGGUCAAACUCCUCAUCACACCUGAGAGAACUGGAUCUGAAGGGUAAUAAUCCAAUCAAAUCAGGAGUGAAGCUGCUCUCCGAUCUACUGAAGGAUCCACACUGUAAACUGGAGACAUUAUACAUUAUGUAGAAUAAACUCACCAGGACUGGCGUAUGACAGGAGUCUCACCUCAAACCUCUUCUCCAGGAUAAAGCAGUUUUGGUGAAGAGUUAGAACCCGUCCCACAUUUCCAGCAGUUUGGGAGCUGAAUCAUUAAACUUAAAGGGACAGAGCAGAAACAAGGUCAAGAACAGGCAGAAGGUCAUACACAGGAGAAAUCAACACAUGUAAUGAAAUAUCUGCUGUACAAAGCAACUGCAAUUUUCCCCGGGGAUGGAGACUGAAGAGGCUUACGUACACGUCCGGAAAUGUACAGACUGAUCCCAAAGCACGAGGUGGGAGCAGGCAUGUUAAUGGUAAAUGGUCUGCACUUAUAUAGCGCUUUUUUAACCGUAGUGGUUCCAAAGCGCUUUACACUGUUUAACAUUCAUGAGGCUUCUGCCAAAGCGUAGAUGUGAAAAUACAGUGGAAAAUUUCCCUUGCAACCUGCCAGCCUUUGCAGUGUCAUGAACACAGUGUCUUGGUCAACGCAGGAGAUGAUUUAAAAAUGUGCCUAUGAAACAGUGAGUGUUCAGCAUACAUGGAGGCACUGGUUCUGUACAUAGUGUUACAUGAAAUAAGACCAGAAAUGACACAAAUCAAUACCCUUGUGUGCAUCUCUCUAAUGGCCUGAUUAGGUCCAUGUCAAUUCUUCCAACUGCGACCUUGAAUAAAGGUAAUGGGCACAAUGGUGCUAUUGGGGUGGCCAGUGGAUUUGCAGCUCAAAUUAGUAGCCUGGUAACAAUUGCUUACACAGCUCUUUUUUGAUGCACCAGUCGACUUAACACUACCCAUAUGAGUUGAUGUUUGGCCAAAAACCUAAGCUACCAGUGGAUAGUUUGCUUGAUGGUAGUGAAGAAGGGGAAGGAGAUGGUGCCCAUUCAGAUUGGGUGGACCAACACCAAAAGUAUUUGACCUCCAUUUAUUCCAGUUCACGAAGGCACUUGGAGACUGUGGUCAUUCACCGUAGGACCAAUUGCCCUGAUUCAGUAGCAAUACUAUCCCGUGGCACUUUAGUGUAUUGUAAGAAUCAUUUUCAUGGUUGCCGUAAGAUUUAGGAUGUCUGGCGCUCCACUGUGUUUGAGAUUGUAGCCUACAUUGAUGAAGUGGGAACGCUAUAUAAAAUCAGACCACAUUUAGAAGAUGGCCCCAUUAAAACUGUCCAUUGAUCAGAUCUUAAGCCUGUUCUUACCUGGCAACAAUAUGCAAGGUAAACCAAUGGGUCACGUCUACUGGCCCUUUCCAGCCCCAGGAGUGAGUAGAGCCAGAAGGACCUAGAAUUGGAGAUUAUUCACAAGUGGCCAUAGUCCAUUCGAGAACGGGUGUAAGGAACUCUGAGGGUCAAGUCCACGUUGAUUCUAGUUCUUAGCCCUCAGUGCUUCAGUCUAGUCCAACAGGGGUACAAAAUGAUUACUCUCUUAUGAGUAUAGGUUCAUCUUUAACGUCUCAACCCCAGGUGACCACACGAGAGCAAGAUCUGAAUUUAGAAACUUCUCUAGAUCUUCAUAUAACACAGUCACUUGAUCAGUCAGUAAUGGGUUUAGUUUCUAGGAUAUCCUUUAGGCGUUCUACUCAUGGGACUCUGUGUUCACCCGAAUGGUGACCAUUAAAAGUAGAGGUGAAUUUGGCAAAGUUGGUUGGAGGCGCUGUUGCGCAUGCCCACUAGAGAGUGGAUUGAUUCUUUAUACACAUCACUUCCUGUCUAUAGAACCAUGUCCAGUGCUUGAAUCCUUUGCUACACUGUGAUUGUUGGUUGCUUGAAGAACAAGUUCUGUUGACAACAAAUGUGUGUUAUAAAUCUGCCAGUAUAAACCUGGACAGGCUAUUAUUUCAGAGGUUUCGUAGUGUGUGGUCAUAAUUUGUCUGUAUCACAUUGAUUGUGUGUGGAUGUGAAGAUGAAAAAAAUAUGAACAAUACCAUCAAACCCAUAUGUGCUUGUUGAAUAUCCCAUUAUAGAUUUAGUCCCCCUUUGUUGUUAUAAUAACCUCCACUCUUCUAGGUAAUCUUUCCACUUUAUUUGGAGCAUGGCCUUUGGGAUUUGUGCAUUUGAGCAUGCAUUUCACCUUCUGAAGAAGAGAUUAAAAGGGGAAACCCCUCAAAACAAACAACAACUGGACGAAGCUGUGGUAAAAGCCUGGAAAAGCAUCACAAAAGAAGAGUGCAACAAUUUGGUGAUGUCAGUGAAUCGCCGCUUGAUUAUUUAUUGCAAGUAAGGGAUAUGCAACCAAAUAGUGUUAUUUACUUUGAUUUCCUUGAAGACUAUCUGUUCCAAUAUUUUUGCUCACCUCAAAAAUGUUCUAAGUUGUUUAACACAUCUAGAUGUAUAUAUCAGGAAAUUAAAGAUUCAAUUUUGUUCUAUUGUGUCA